GGUGAUUAAGGUGGAAGGUGAUUUUGUUAGCCUUGCGUGGGAGUUGGAGGGAAAUAUUUGUAUGAUGUGUAACACAAAGUUUAAAUUUCAAGAGACAAUCCAAAAAGUUGCUAAUUAAACUUUUAGUAAUUUUAUUUAUUUAUUUAUUUUGUUAAAGUUUGUAAUGUAUUGGGUGCCAAAAGUAUAGUUAAAACUUUUGACUGUUUGAUGUAAAUCUUUAAGGAUAUUUACACUGAGAUAGAAAUUUUACUUUGAUACUAUUGUAUAUUGUACUUUUUGUAAAAAGAAGAAAAAAAAGUAUAAGAUUAUUUUAUCUAAAUAAAAAUGCAUUAACUU
rnacentral:lncRNA from 1 species